rnacentral:rRNA from 1 species
UACGUAGGGUGCGAGCGUUGUUCGGAAUCACUGGGCGUAAAGGGUGCGUAGGCGGGUCUUUAAGUCAGGGGUGAAAUCCUGGAGCUCAACUCCAGAACUGCCUUUGAUACUGAGGAUCUUGAGUUCGGGAGAGGUGAGUGGAACUGCGAGUGUAGAGGUGAAAUUCGUAGAUAUUCGCAAGAACACCAGUGGCGAAGGCGGCUCACUGGCCCGAUACUGACGCUGAGGCACGAAAGCGUGGGGAGCAAACAGG